rnacentral:rRNA from 1 species
GUCCACGCUGUAAACGAUGUCGAUUUGGAGGUUGUGGGCAUGACCCGUGGCUUCCUGAGCUAACGCGUUAAAUCGACCGCCUGGGGAGUACGGCCGCAAGGUUAAAACUCAAAUGAAUUGACGGGGGCCCCGCACAAGCGGUGGAGCAUGUGGUUUAAUUCGAUGCAACGCGAAGAACCUUACCUACUCUUGACAUCCAGAGAACUUAGCAGAGAUGCUUUGGUGCCUUCGGGAACUCUGAGACAGGUGCUGCAUGGCUGUCGU